rnacentral:rRNA from 1 species
UACAGAGGGGGCAAGCGUUAUUCGGAAUUAUUGGGCGUAAAGGGCGCGUAGGCGGCCAUUCAAGUGACGGGUGAAAGCCCUCGGCUUAACCGAGGAACUGCCUGUCAGACUGGAUGGCUUGAGACCGGGAGAGGUGAGUGGAAUUCCCAGUGUAGCGGUGAAAUGCGUAGAUAUUGGGAGGAACACCAGUGGCGAAGGCGGCUCACUGGACCGGAACUGACGCUGAGGCGCGAAGGUCAGGGGAGCAAACGGG